ACACGACUCUCGGCAACGGAUAUCUCGGCUCUCGCCACGAUGAAGAAUGUAGCGAAAUGCGAUACUUAGUGUGAAUUGCAGAAUCCCGUGAAUCAUCGAGUCUUUGAACGCAAGUUGCGCCCGAGGCUUCGGCCGAGGGCACGUCUGCUUGGGCGUCGCAC
rnacentral:rRNA from 1 species